GCCUGGGUGGCUCAGUCGGUUGAGCAUCCGACUUCGGCUCAGGUCAUGAUCUCACAGUCCGUGAGUUCGAGCCCCACGUCGGGCU
rnacentral:tRNA from 1 species